GGCGACCGGCGCACGGGUGAGUAACACGUACCCAACCUCGUCCUUACUCGGGGAUAGCCUUUCGAAAGAAAGAUUAAUACCCGAUAGCAUAAUGAUUCCGCAUGGUUUCAUUAUUAAAGGAUUCCGGUAAAGGAUGGGGAUGCGUUCCAUUAGGUUGUUGGUGAGGUAACGGCUCACCAAGCCUUCGAUGGAUAGGGGUUCUGAGAGGAAGGUCCCCCACAUUGGAACUGAGACACGGUCCAA
rnacentral:rRNA from 1 species